UCCAAAUGAUUUGCAAGAGAAACAUGGAGUAAGAUAAUGACUAUUCAGUAGAAAGCAAAAAAUAGUACAGAGCACAAAUAACUCAAAAUUAGCAUAACAAUUCUUGCUAUUAAUAUGAAUCAUUUCUUCUUUGCUUCAUUUUUGUAGUUUGCAGAUCUUCUGUGUUAAAUAGAAAGCUCCAAAUACAUUGCCUUUUUGAUAAAAGGGGAGUCAUACAAAUCUGUCAAACACAUGUAUAUAUUAUGUAUUUAAUUCGUUGAUUUAUUUAUAUAAAGAUGAAAUCAAACCAAAAAUUAAUUAGGACCUACUGUGUGUGUUUUGUUGUUCGGCAGUGCUCUUUUCGGUUGGUAUUCAGAUGGGGUCGUUGGUUGAUUCAAGCUGCUUUUAGUCAUGCUUAUCUGUUAAAUUAUCUUUGCUAAAUGUGACCAGAAAUAUGGGAAUUUUUAAUUGGCAAUUAUAAUCCUUGGACUGCAUGUUACCCUAUUAGACAGCUGGCUGCCAGUUUCAUGCAGGAUCUUUUCAUGACCAUCAUACACUGCAGGGAACAUUAAUUUACCCUGAAAAUCAAAUUAAUUGAAAAGGUCUUUUCCAAACAAAACACAUGAACAGAUGCUAGCAUAGUACUUGCAAAUGUAAUCAUUCGAUCCAAUGUAGGGAUCUUCUCUAUGAAAUUUUGCCUGAUUCCCCCUAUGUGCUUGGUCCACCCUCCUUGGGCUUGUGUGACCCUUAUAUCAUGGCCUAUGGCAAUGCUUUCUCAGCUGCCUCUCUAAUAGACUCUGAGGUACAAGAGAGCACACACAAACCACCUUUUAACUUCAUAUCCUAAGCUCCUGGCUUGAAUUAGAAACCCAGUAAGUGCUUAUUUUAUGAAUAUUCAUACAAUUGUUUAGACUAUUGUGCUUUUAGAGUUUGAAAAGUCCCUUAAACAAUUAAACACCUCCUUUGCAGUUAUAAGGUUUGAUGGAUUUGUAUAUGUAGUACAUACAUAAAUAAGUCGGGUUUUAUGUGACUACAUCUAGGCCUUUUAUACAGUUCAAGGAUUCUAAAAAUUUUUUAAGAGAAACAUAUGGGAGGGUGGGAGGCUGAGGAAAGAUUUAAGGAACAGUUUAACAUUAUUUAAAGGUGCAAACGUCGACCUGUGUUUGAGAAAAAAGUAUGUCACAACGGACAGUAGGGUGCUAUUUUAUGACUUGGGGUGGGAUGUCCUAUCCUCUGUGACAAAUAAAAUGUGUGCAGAGUCCAGGCUUAGACAUUCAGCUAAACAAGACAGUGAAUGAGAAGCCAGAGGGUCAGAGGAAAGGAAGGUUAUGAAGCAAUUUUACACUUUUGUUUGAGCUUUUACCCAGCCUACAGUGCUGUCAUGUAGGACCAGAGCUGAUGGGAAAUUUGUUCUACUCUAAAAAAGUUCCAGAAAAAUAUGAAUCUACUGCACCCAGUGGAUUCAACCAGAGUGGUUGUUAUUGAAUUCUUCCUUGUAUAUAAUUACAAAAUCUUUAAGCUACGACUUAAACUCUUUUUGUUGUUGUUCUUUCCUCAGUAGAGCUAGUCAACAACUGGUCAUCCUCUUCAACAUAAGAUGUUAAGUAAUCCCAGUUAGUUAUUUUUCCCCCUUUUGUAUGAAAUUCCAGCUCCCUUAUUUAUUCUGUUAAGAUCUUAUGUCCAGAGCAGUCAUGUAUCUGUCCUGCUGGGACAUCCCUGGGCUGUCUCUUUCAUCCUGGAGCUCUGAACACCACUCCAUAAAAAGAACAUGCCCAGCAAAGAAAAGCUGGUAUAUGACAUCCCCAAAUAUCCAUUUCCUGUGCUCUUCUCUCCUCCCUAGUCCAUUCAUUCACUCAGAGUGAGUUCUAGGUGCUCUAGGUAUCAUAGUGAACAAAACUGGCACAAAUCCCUCCCAAACUUUAUGUUCUAGCUGGGGGAGAGAUUAAUACACAAAAUGUAUAAGUACGUGAGUGACUGGGUCACUUUGCUGUACAGCAAAAAUUGGCACAACAUUGUGAAUCAACUAUAGUUUAAUAAAAAAUGUAAAAAAAAAAACCCAGAAAACAAAGUCAGGAAAUGGUUUGGGGUUGUAAUUCUCAUUGUGGCUAGGAUAGGUGUGACUGAGAAGGUUGUUCAAAAUGAUUAAACGAGAUAAUUCAGGUGAUACAAACAAACUUUAGCAGUUCAUGAAGCAGGCAGGCUCUGUUCCCAAGUGCCCAGAGAACUGCAAAAGGGGGCAGAAGGUGGGAAGCUUUUAUAGGAUAAAGACUAAGGAACAAGGAAAUAAGUGUAGAGCCCAGAGUUUGCUUGGUGUUCGGGGGUUGGCUGAGUGGAUGUACUGCAUUUUUGGUCAAGUGGAGGAUUUACAGAGACACAAAGUGAUCUGAAUUUUAGUUUGUUGACAUGGCACCCAGGCAGAAGCGGCUCCACCUUGCACCUGGAAAUUUGUCUCAACAAGGUGUAUUCUGAGGAAAGACCUCAAGGAGAUGAGGAAGCCAGCAAAACAGGCAUCUGGAGUAUAGUAUAUGGGACAGAGAAAACAGCCAACAGGAAGGCCUUGAGGUCAAAACUGGCUGGUGUGUUCGAGAAACAGUAAAGCGGCAAUAAGAUGGAUGGAGCAGUGUCAAUGAGGGGAGAGAGUUAACAGGGAUGACGAGAGAGAGGGUCAGGUCAGAUUGUGUAGAACCUCUUAGGCCACUAGAAGGAUGUUGGCUUUUAUUCUGGAAUGAGCAGCCAUUGUGGGUUUUAAGGUGAAGACUAACCAGAUCUGAUUAUGCCUUAACAGGACAAGUCUGUGUUGAGGAUGAAACAAAGGAAAGGGGGCAUUUGGGAGACCAGCUGAAAACUGUUGUAAUGAUUCAGUAGUGUCAUUAUGACGUCUCCAACCAGAGCAGUGGAAGUAACGAAAAGAAGUGGCUAGAUUCUAGAUGUUUUGAAAGAAGGACCAAAAGAAGUUGCUAGUGGAAUGCAUGUGAGUAUGAAAGAAAAGGAGGAGUCAAGGGUGACUUCAAGAUGGAGUUGAGAAUCUUGUUGAUCAUGGCAGGGAAGUGGUAGUAGUGGGGAGAUAGGGAGCUUAGUUUUCAACAUGGUAAGUUAAAGAAGACUAUGAGACCUCCAAGUAGAGGGUUGAGGAGUCAGCUGGAUCUACACAUAUGGAGGUCAUGAAGUUUUGGCCAGAGGUGCAAAUUAUGGAGUCAUCAUCAUAUGGAAGGUACUUAGCAUCCUGAGACUGAAUGAGAUCACCAAGGCAGCAUACAUAUUAAAGAUCAGAGCUUCAGAGAGUGAGCCAUGGGGCAUGCCAUAGGGGGCUGGGAUAUUUGUAAAAAUAUAAGCACGUAUACAUACACAUCACCCACAAGUGUUUUUUAAAAUUUUUAUGGAAGUAUAGUUGAUUUACAAUAUUGUAUUAAUUUCUCUUGUACAGUAAAGUGAUUCAGUUAUACCUAUGUAUAUAUACACACUCCUUUUUAAAUAUUCUUUUCCAUUAUGGUUUAUCAUAGUUACAUAGUUUACAGUGUAGCUAACAACUACAUUGAAUAUAGUUUUCUGUGCUAUACAACAGGGACCUUGUUGUUUAUCCCUUCCACGUGUAAUAGCUUACAUCUGCUAACCCCAACCUCCCACUCCAUCCCUCCCCAACACCCUCCCCCUUGGCAGCCACAGGUCUGCUCUCCUUGUCCAGGAGUCUUUAUCUGUUUCACAGAUAGGCUCAUUUGUCACACACAAGCAUUUUGAUGGAAGCAGCCCUGAGUGAGUAAACUUUGGAGAAGUAGGAUGAUUCAGCCCAGUAUGAAGAGAGGAAAAGAUACUGAUGGGUGGAACAUGACCAGACAGAUGAAACCUUGAAGAACAAGAAUGCAGCAGUGAGUGAGAAAGCUUAGGCUGGUGGCUAGAAGCAGAUGAAGGGACAGUCUGUUUUGGGCAGCGGGAUGGAGAGCAGGUAGAAUGGCUUAGGUUACUCAUUUGUUUUGCCACCCUAUUUCCCGGUAAAACGAACAGCUUUGUUUUAGACUAGGCUCCCUGAAAACAGCCUCUGAGAUGGAGUAUUCUCUGCAGAUGGACUACUCAUCUGCAGAAAGUUGCUCACCUGGAGAAGGUUUACCAGGGAGUAGUCAUGGGAGAUACCCCUGAAGGAAGCAAGUGGGUAGGGCAGAGAAGUUGAGCUGUGAUAUGCUUGCAGCUAAGAUCCUGCAAGGUGCUCAGAAACUGGGCUGGUCCUUCAGAAUUGUCCCACAUGGAGGUAGGGGGACUGAGUCUGUUAUUGGUGGAAUGGCACAUUCCUCGGUCCUUUGUUCCCUGAAGGAAAGAAUUCAAAUGAGAGACAUAGAGCAGUUUUAAGCAGCAGAAAUUUUAUUAAGCAAAGCAAGCAAGCUAAAGUAUGGUCUCCCAAAGAGACUGGAGAGCCAGCCCUCUGAAUGGAAACCAGAAGCAGCAAUGAGGGCAGAGAUGGUCUUUCGGUGUAGUGGAAUCCUUCUCUGUGUCCUGCAUCAUUUUGAUUGACAAGGUGAUUCACAGCUUUAGGUUAUAUGACUUUUCUCCUUGUGUGCAGGUGUUUACCCAUAAACAUCCAAGCAAAGCCCAUGGGGUGGGGGGAGAAAACCCACAAUGCUAAUUUAUUUUAAAUAUGGCAUAAUGAACCUGGGUCAUUUUGGACUACCUCUUUGGUCUUGGUGUGCCUGCACCAACCAGUGCUGGCAAUUUGGAAGGAUCAACUGUUUUUAACUUUGUACUUGGGCCUGAUAAGACUGGGAACUUAGUUGUUCUUAAGUGCUAAAGGGAAGAUCUCUGGGUAUGUUCUGCUCAGUAUCAAGGGGAAGGAGGAGGAGGGAAAGAUGACAGUCCAGGAUAGGGUAGGACUCACUCAUGCUUGACUAGCUCCCUAAUAAUUCUUUGGAUCAUUACAUCAGCCAGCUAUUGGUCUAGGCUGUUCCCCGACAAGAGGUGGUGUUACUGUGGGCAAGAUAGUUCCCUAUAACUGAAGGCAGUGCCCAGAAAGGGACAGAGCUGUGAGUCAUCAGUAUUGAUAUUCUCAGAAGGUGGGGUAUGCGUGUCCUGUCCUUGAAGACAAGAGGGGAUGUGGUUGAUGUACUGC
ensembl:lncRNA